CGGGACACGUGGUAUCCUGUCUGAAUAUGGGGGGACCAUCCUCCAAGGCUAAAUACUCCUGACUGACCGAUAGUGAACCAGUACCGUGAGGGAAAGGCGAAAAGAACCCCGGCGAGGGGAGUGAAAAAGAACCUGAAACCGUGUACGUACAAGCAGUGGGAGCACAGAGCAAUCUGUGUGACUGCGUACCUUUUGUAUAAUGGGUCAGCGACUUAUAUUCUGUAGCAAGGUUAACCGAAUAGGGGAGCCGAAGGGAAACCGAGUCUUAACUGGGCGUUAAGUUGCAGGGUAUAGACCCGAAACCCGGUGAUCUAGCCAUGGGCAGGUUGAAGGUUGGGUAACACUAACUGGAGGACCGAACCGACUAAUGUUGAAAAAUUAGCGGAUGACUUGUGGCUGGGGGUGAAAGGCCAAUCAAACCGGGAGAUAGCUGGUUCUCCCCGAAAGCUAUUUAGGUAGCGCCUCGUGAAUUCAUCUCCGGGGGUAGAGCACUGUUUCGGCAAGGGGGUCAUCCCGACUUACCAACCCGAUGCAAACUGCGAAUACCGGAGAAUGUUAUCACGGGAGACACACGGCGGGUGCUAACGUCCGUCGUGAAGAGGGAAACAACCCAGACCGCCAGCUAAGGUCCCAAAGUCAUGGUUAAGUGGGAAACGAUGUGGGAAGGCCCAGACAGCCAGGAUGUUGGCUUAGAAGCAGCCAUCAUUUAAAGAAAGCGUAAUAGCUCACUGGUCGAGUCGGCCUGCGCGGAAGAUGUAACGGGGCUAAACCAUGCACCGAAGCUGCGGCAGCGACGCUUAUGCGUUGUUGGGUAGGGGAGCGUUCUGUAAGCCUGCGAAGGU
rnacentral:rRNA from 1 species